CCAUUGGAACUACCAUAUCUACUUUUUAUAGUGUUUCUGACUCACCAUCACUUUCACCUUCUCCUAUUUUCAAAAUCAUUCUCUAAGCCCAACCUAUGCUUAAGGCAAAGGGAAUGAAGGUAUACCUUAUGAAGGGCUUAAAAGAGAAUUUAUGAACAUAUUUUAGACUGCCACAGUCUGCCUGCUGGCCUCAAAUUGUUUACUUACAUCCUGCAUGCAAAAUAUCCUCACCCCAUCCCAAGAAUCCUCCCUCUUAAAGCCCCAACCCUUUAUAACAUCAGCUCAAAGUCCAGAAUAUUGUUAUCUAAAUUAGGUCCAGGUGUGGAUGAGUCUCCUUGGGUGCACUGGUUUUUGACUACACUUUUUCUCAAUCUGAAGACCUAUGAAUUAAGCAUACAACCAACACGGGCACGUGAUAACCAGAAUAAAUGCUGCUGUUGGAAAAGGAACGAAGGAGGUUCUCAUGAGUCACCGGUCCAUAGCAAUUCUGAAGUUCAGCUGGCACAGACUGAGCAUUCUGGCAGGAGAAACCUGAAAUGCACAGUCAAAUGAAUUUUUCUAGUCAAUGUGGAGCAGAGAGCAAGGCAGAAUGGGUUUGUCUCUUAAUUCGGGCCAAAGACCCUGAGGGCAAAGCAACGCCUGCCGGGAACUGAAACUACCCCUCAAGCAAUAAGGACUGCCCUGAGCCAAUAAGACUCCACCAUCAACUCCAAGACAAUGACCAACCUGACCUUUACUGACCACCUGCAUGUACCCACCCACCUUUGUCCCACAUUUUCUUUACAUAUUCCUGGAAGUAUUUUUGGUACUUUAGAGACAGUCUUUGAUGUUAGUCUGCUAUCUUCCUGGUGUUGGCCUCACUGAAUAAAUUCCCUCUUUGUUUCA